rnacentral:rRNA from 1 species
UACGGAGGAUGCGAGCGUUAUCCGGAUUUAUUGGGUUUAAAGGGUGCGCAGGCGGAUUUUUAAGUCAGCGGUCAAAUCGUGGGGCUCAACCCCAUCCAGCCGUUGAAACUGGCAGUCUCGAGUUGGAGAGAAGUAUGCGGAAUGCGCGGUGUAGCGGUGAAAUGCUUAGAUAUCACACAGAACACCGAUUGCGAAGGCAUCUGACGAAUCGGAGAUUGACGCUGAUGCACGAAAGCGUGGGUAUCGAACAGG